rnacentral:rRNA from 1 species
UAGGGAAUAUUGGACAAUGGGCGGAAGCCUGAUCCAGCAAUGCCGCGUGAGUGAUGAAGGCCUUAGGGUUGUAAAGCUCUUUUACCCGGGAUGAUAGUGACAGUACCGGGAGAAUAAGCCCCGGCUAACUCCGUGCCAGCAGCCGCGGUAAUACGGAGGGGGCUAGCGUUGUUCGGAAUUACUGGGCGUAAAGCGCACGUAGGCGGCUUUGCAAGUCAGAGGUGAAAGCCCGGGGCUCAACCCCGGAAUUGCCUUUGAGACUGCAUCGCUAGAAUUGCGGAGAGGUCAGUGGAAUUCCGAGUGUAGAGGUGAAAUUCGUAGAUAUUCGGAAGAACACCAGUGGCGAAGGCGACUUACUGGACACAUAUUGACGCUGAGGUGCGAAAGCGUGGGGAGCAAACA